rnacentral:rRNA from 1 species
CGCGGGAUUACUCCACAAUGCACGAAAGUGUGAUGGGGCUAUCCCGAGUGCUGUCCGCUGAGGACAGCUUUUCCAUGCUGUAAGAAUGCGUGGGAAUAAGGAGAGGGCAAGCCUGGUGUCAGCCGCCGCGGUAAUACCAGCUCUCCGAGUGGUAGGGAUAAUUAUUGGGCUUAAAGCGUCCGUAGCUGGCUCUUCAAGUCUUUCGUUAAAUCCAGCGAUUUAAUCGUUGGACUGCGGGAAAUACUGCUGAGCUAGGGGGCGGGAGAAGUCAACGGUAUUUCCGGGGUAGGAGUGAAAUCCUAUAAUCCCGGGAGGACCACCAGUGGCGAAGGCGGUCGACUAGAACGCGCUCGACAGUGAGGGACGAAAGCUGGGGGAGCGAACCGGAUUAGAUACCCGGGUAGUCCCAGCAGUAAACGAUGCGCGCUAGGUGUUAGAGUGGCUACGAGCCACUUUAGUGCCGCAGGGAAACCGUUAAGCGCGCCGCCUGGGGAGUACGGCCGCAAGGCUGAAACUUAAAGGAAUUGGCGGGGGAGCACCACAAGGGGUGAAGCUGCGGUUUAAUUGGAGUCAACACCGGAAACCUUACCGGGGGCGACAGCAGAGUGAAAGCCAGAUUGAAGGUCUUGCCGGACGAGCUGAGAGGAGGUGCAUGGCCGCCGCCAGUUCGUGCCGUGAGGCGUCCUGUUAAGUCAGGCAACGAUCGAGACCCACACCCCCUGUUGCUACUGAAGAAGCUUUCUGAGGGGCACACUGGGGGUACUGCCGACGAAAAGUCGGAGGAAGGAGUGGGCAACGGCAGGUCAGUAUGCCCCGAAUCCUCCGGGCCACACGCGAGCUGCAAUGGUAGGGACAGUGGGCUCCGACCCCGAAAGGGGAAGGUAAUCCCGAAACCCUGCCUCAGUUGGGAUCGAGGGCUGCAACCCGCCCUCGUGAACAUGGAAUCCCUAGUAAUCGCGUGUCACUAUCGCGCGGUGAAUACGUCCCUGCUCCUUGCACGAAUUCGCCGAGUCAAUAGU